CAAGCUUCGUUUUUUUUGCUUUUUACAAUAAGUGUUGCUACUGCUCAGUCUUUGAGUCCACGCUACUUUUAUGAGCUGUAACACUCACUACAAAGGUCUGCAGCUUCACUCUUGAAGCCAGCGAGACCACUGAGCUCACCGGGAGGAACAAACAACUCCGGACGCACUGUCUUAAGAGCUAUAACACCGCCAAGGUCUGCAUCUUCACUUCUGAGCCAGCGAGACCACGAACCCACCAGAAGGAAGAAACUCGGAACACAUCUGAAUAUCAGAAGGAACAGACUCCAGACGCGCCACCUCAAGAGCUGUAACACUCACGGCGAGGGUCCGCGGCUUCAUUCUUGAGGGCAAAAUCUUUUUCCCUUGAAGACUGGAAAUAUUAUCCAUGUUGUCCUCCGGAAUAUUUUCAAUGACUUGUGCCCUGCCAGCUCUAGCUUUUGAAGGGUCUACACUCAUCAUCAACAGGCUGGAAAAAUGAAUGGCUUUCUAGGAGGCAUACUGUUCAACUCACCUUUACAACUUUCAAUCACUGUGGCUGAAAUAGAGUCAUGAAAGACAAGAUGUUGAUAAUACUUACAAGAGAAAGAAG
rnacentral:lncRNA from 10 species